rnacentral:lncRNA from 1 species
CCUGGAACUCACUACGCAGACCAAGCUGGCCUAAAACUCACAGAGAUACUCGAGUCUCUCUCUGCCCCUGAGCACUGGGAUUAAAGGUUGUGCUACAGUACCCAGUUGACUACUAUUAUUUGAAGGGCCAGCGUCAUCUUUGCCUUGUGCACCCAUACCCUCUAUAUUGACUAUUUUCAUUUCUCUACUUGCUUUGCAACCUAUACUGCUGGGAGCAAUAUCUUCCCCAAAAGAAGCCCAUGCCCUCAAGUCUGGAACCUCCAAAAGCAGCCUAAUUGGUAAAGUGUCUUUGUGGAUAUAAUUAAAGACCUGAAGUGAGAACCCUGAAUUUAGAGUAUCCCAGGCAUCAACACCAGGUGGGAGAGAGCAGAGGCUGGGGGCAGCGAGAGAGACAAGACAGGUAGAGCCACCCAGGAGCUUGGACCAUGGACACCUUGAGUUCAGACUUCUAGACUCCUGGGUGAUGUGAGCCGAAGUUCCUGUUUCUUAAGACACUAGCUUUGUGAUCAUUUGUCAGGGCAGCCACAGGGAAUCGCUGCACCGACCGACUCUGUUGUUUACACACUAUAUAUAAUAGAACCCACAGGCCCACAGCUAUGCCCCACACAGCCAUCACACAGAGCUCACUGCAGGCCCCCGCCCAAUGCUGUCCCUGCAAGCCCCUGCCAAGGUCAUCUCCCUUUCUACUCUGAGGCAUUUUACAGGCUAAAUAGAUGUGGUCCAUCUUCUGCGGCCCAGAGGCACCCACCACUGUGGAUCACUCCUUCCUCUCUUCCAGGCACAGCUUCCUGUGUGUCCUCUGCCCUCAGCCCUCAGGACACCGAAGUCCAAGGACAGAGCCCAUGGCUGCUCCCAUCAAGUGCCAGGUGGACAGUAAAGAGGCAGAAUGUGAAUAAACAAGUCCACAGAGCCACUGACACGAGAGUGGUGACAGCCGUCCUUUCCAUGAGAGGCCCCUUACCACCCUGGACCCUGGCCAAAAUACCAAUCCAUUCAACUCAUCCAUCAGCCUGACAGGCCCUGAUUCAGUUGCCC